rnacentral:sRNA from 1 species
GCAUAUCAAUAAGCGGAGGAAAAGAAACCAACAGGGAUUGCCCUAGUAACGGCGAGUGAAGCGGCAACAGCUCAAAUUUGAAAUCUGGCGUCUUCGGCGUCCGAGUUGUAAUUUGCAGAGGGCGCUUUGGCAUUGGCAGCGGUCCAAGUUCCUUGGAACAGGACGUCACAGAGGGUGAGAAUCCCGUACGUGGUCGCUAGCCUUUACCGUGUAAAGCCCCUUCGACGAGUCGAGUUGUUUGGGAAUGCAGCUCUAAAUGGGAGGUAAAUUUCUUCUAAAGCUAAAUACUGGCCAGAGACCGAUAGCGCACAAGUAGAGUGAUCGAAAGAUGAAAAGCACUUUGGAAAGAGAGUUAAAAAGCACGUGAAAUUGUUGAAAGGGAAGCGCUUGCAGCCAGACUUGCCUGUAGUUGCUCAUCCGGGUUUUUACCCGGUGCACUCUUCUAUAGGCAGGCCAGCAUCAGUUUGGGCGGUUGGAUAAAGGUCUCUGUCAUGUACCUCUCUUCGGGGAGAACUUAUAGGGGAGACGACAUGCAACCAGCCUGGACUGAGGUCCGCGCAUCUGCUAGGAUGCUGGCGUAAUGGCUGUAAGCGGCCCGUCUUGAAACACGGACCAAGGAGUCUAACAUCUAUGCGAGUGUUUGGGUGUCAAGCCCGAGCGCGUAAUGAAAGUGAACGGAGGUGGGAACCUUUCGGGGUGCACCAUCGACCGAUCCUGAUGUCUUCGGAUGGAUUUGAGUAAGAGCAUAGCUGUUGGGACCCGAAAGAUGGUGAACUAUGCUUGAAUAGGGUGAAGCCAGAGGAAACUCUGGUGGAGGCUCGCAGCGGUUCUGACGUGCAAAUCGAUCGUCAAAUUUGGGCAUAGGGGCGAAAGACUAAUCGAACUAUCUAGUAGCUGGGUUCCUG